AAUAGCAUCAGUAAUAAAUGUUAAUGUAUCAGAACUGGUCAAUAAAUCAGUGGAAUCAAAGUGAUUUUAAUCUACAACAAAUUAUUUUCAUUCCUGUUUCCUUCUUGAAUAACAAAAAUUUUGAAAUGCUGGAUGAAUUAAUGAGAAAUAAAUUAAUAUUUAGUCUAAUCUCAUUGAUUUAAUCCAGAGAUCUGUGAAUUUUGAAGACGUUUGGUCUUAAAAUCUCAACAGAUCAGAUAAAUCUGUUUAAUUUGAUCAAAUAUGAGUUUUAAUCUGUUUGAGGUUCUUCUGUUUAUAGAAAGUUUAGGAAAAACUUUUCCUGUGUCUGGUUGUUGAAAACUAAAGAGACAAACAGAUUUUCUUUCUAAAAUAAAUUAAAACUUGGUGUUUGUUCUUCAUGCAGAUUAAAUACAUUUUCUCCCAAGUGGGGAGAAAUGUUUUGAGCAAGAGAACAUGCAAACUCAAGGAGAAAAACCCUGGGCUGGGAAUCAAACCUAAGACCUUCUUACUGUGAGGCAACAUCUCUACCAGCUGCACCGGCUACUUUUCUUUCUUAAACUGGAUGAUUAUUCUACUGUUGUGUUAUAAAAAUGCUAAUCUUAGUCCAUCAACCGUUUAAUGUGAAAGUCGUGUCAUUCUGUCUCAGUAAAAGCCUUAAACCUGUUUCUCCCCCACAGGAUUCAAAUUUCAGUCACAACUUAAAGCAGGAAGACAAAAAUGUUGGUGACAAACAUCUGAUAUCCUGACUGAACUCAUUCAGUCACUGGAGAUUAAACAGACGAGG